UACAGAGGUCUCAAGCGUUGUUCGGAUUCAUUGGGCGUAAAGGGUGCGUAGGCGGCGCGGUAAGUCGGGUGUGAAAUCUCGGGGCUUAACUCCGAAACUGCAUUCGAUACUGCCGUGCUUGAGGACUGGGAGAGGAGACUGGAAUUUACGGUGUAGCGGUGAAAUGCGUAGAUAUCGUAAGGAGACCAGUGGCGAAGGCGGGUCUCUGGACAGUUCCUGACGCUGAGGCACGAAGGUCAGGGGGAGCAAACGGG
rnacentral:rRNA from 1 species